rnacentral:tRNA from 1 species
GGAUUGUGGCUCAGUGAUAGAGCACUCGCCUAGCAUGCACAAGGCCCUGGGUUCGAUCCUCAGCACCA